AUUGAACGCUAGCGGCAGGCCUAACACAUGCAAGUCGAGCGGAUGAAGGGAGCUUGCUCCUGGAUUCAGCGGCGGACGGGUGAGUAAUGCCUAGGAAUCUGCCUGGUAGUGGGGGAUAACGUCCGGAAACGGGCGCUAAUACCGCAUACGUCCUGAGGGAGAAAGUGGGGGAUCUUCGGACCUCACGCUAUCAGAUGAGCCUACGUCGGAUUAGCUAGUUGGUGGGGUAAAGGCCUACCAAGGCGACGAUCCGUAACUGGUCUGAGAGGAUGAUCAGUCACACUGGAACUGAGACACGGUCCAGGCUCCUACGGGAGGCAGCAGUGAGGAAUCUUGGACAAUGGGCGAAAGCCUGAUCCAGGCAUGCCGCGUGUGUGAAGAAGGUCUUCGGAUUGUAAAGAACUUUAAGUUAGGAGAAAGGACAGUAAGUUAAUACCUUGCUGUUUUGACGUUACCAACAGAAUAAGCACCGGCUAACUUCGUG
rnacentral:rRNA from 1 species